rnacentral:rRNA from 1 species
UUUAAUUACAAUAUCCUUCAAGAUUAUAUUA